ensembl:lncRNA
AAUUUUUUGGACAAAAGCUGAAGUUUUGCACCUUCAAUCAAGAUGUGAUUAAAGGGCAGACUGAGUUUUAAUUUAAAGGGUUUUACAAAUAUUUUUGCAUUUACUGUUACUGUUACUGUCCCCCCUUUCAUGGGCUCAAAAUGAACUGGACAACAAACUGAACAAUGUUUUAAUAUUUUAAAAUCAUGCUGGUUUUUAAACUCAUGGUCGAAACUCUGCAUUUCCUUCCCUCCCUCGAGGUGCUCUAAGUCGUUACUACAGCCACGUUCAGUUGCUGUUGGUUUUUUAAAAUUCUUUCUUCAUAGAGUUUUGUAUUUAAUAACUGAGAAGCACUCUCUGUUGGGCUUUCUUUGCCUUGAGAAACUCUUGGGUUGCUUUUGCUAUACGUUUUGGAUCAUUAUUCAUUUGCAGGUUUUGUCCUGUCAGUUUUUGAGUAUUUGUCUCAGUCUGAACGUCAGGUCGAGCAGAGAGCAGCUGUAUAUGCUUAUAAUACUGCCUUCACCAUGUUUAAUAGAUAAUGGUGGCAUGCUUUGGAUCAUAAGCAGUUCCUUAGUUUCCGUAGUUCCGUAGUUUUCCAUCAUUCUAGUACAAGUUAAUCUUAGUUUCAUCUGUUCAAAGGUUAUUUUUAUUAAAUUUUUAAUUUAAUUAAACUGUGCAGACUCCUGUAGAUGUUUUCCAAUCUGAUCUCAGCGGGCCUUGUUUAUUCAGAAGUUCACAUGAUGUUUCUUUGCUUUUUGAAUUUUCAUUUCCAUGAUGGCAUCUCUUGGUAGUAGACCUUGACAAUGAUACACCUCCCUCCUCCAGACUGUUCUUGACUUGGCCCUUUGGUGUUGCUCAGCUGGCCAGAGCUGGCCUGAGGAGAUUCGGAGGAGAGGCAAAGCAUGUGGGUUGAGUUGCAAGAAUGCUUUCUGAAGCCCAGUGUCUGUGCAACUGCAUCAGAUCCGAGAUCAUAAGAUAUAGAUAUAUCUAUAUCUUUCAUUCUUUCUUUACUCUCCCCUAGUGACACCACGAUGUAGCGGUUAACACAAUGAUGUUCCCAUUUCAAGAUUGGGAAGAAAUACAAACCCAGCCUCAGGGAGUCACAAGCUACUGUACUCCAGUGCUGGUCCCAAACCUGGAUAAAUGGCAGAGUUGCAUCAGGAAGGGCAUCCCUCAUCAAGUCUCUGCCAAUCAAACAUGCAGUUCCAUCUUCUGUGGCAAUCCCUUGGGAAAUAAACCAG